GAACGCUGGCGGCGUGCUUAACACAUAGCAAGUCGAACGCGAAAGGGACUUCGGUCCUGAGUAAAGUGGCGCACGGGUGAGUAACGCGUGGAUAAUCUGCCCUUAUGAUCGGGAUAACAGUUGGAAACGGCUGCUAAUACCGGAUACGCUCAAAAUGAACUUUUUGAGGAAAGAUGGCCUCUGCUUGCAUGCUAUCACGUAAGGAUGAGUCCGCGUCCCAUUAGCUUGUUGGCGGGGUAACGGCCCACCAAGGCAACGAUGGGUAGCCGAUUUGAGAGGAUGAUCGGCCACACUGGAACUGAAACACGGUCCAGACUCCUACGGGAGGCAGCAGUGGGGAAUAUUGCGCAAUGGGCGAAAGCCUGACGCAGCGACGCCGCGUGAGGGAUGAAAAGGUUUUCGGAUCGUAAACCUCUGUCAGAAGGGAAGAAACUACGUUGUGCUAAUCAGCAGCGUACUGACGGUACCUUCAAAGGAAGCACCGGCUAACUCCGUGCCAGCAGCUGC
rnacentral:rRNA from 1 species